AGUUUAAAAGGCCAAAAGUAUUUAAUAAAAUUUCGAGUUUUUAAACGCAAAUUUGUAUUGAACAUAUUUAGUUGAUACACUCCGUACUCCGUACCGAGAAGCGAAUAGUGCUUACGAUGUUGUACAUAAGCAGACUGAUCAACAAAGAAUUCCAGCCGACGCAGUAACAAUCCCAAAAACAACCCUCCUGCUUUGUAGAAUUUUCAGUUGAGCUCUUGCCCGCACUUUGAAAGCAGGACUCUGCGGAGGGUGUGAUUUGAGUGAGUUUUUUUUAAAGGUUUUUGAGAUUAAAUUGUUGAUCAAUAGAGUAUACAAGCCACUAGCCUCUCGUACAUUCUCACCUGCAAUGCAUACGGAUGUGAAUUGAGUGUUUUUAGCGUUUUUAAAUUAUAGUUUAUGAACGAUAAACUGAAGUCUACCAUGCAACAUGUUUAGUUAAAUGAUUUAAAAUGUUGGCUUUAAUGUCCUUUCAAAUAUAACUUCUUAAAAGUAUAUAACCAAUUCUUUUAAUGAGAACACUUGUUUGCCAGAUAUGUCUGAAUAGAAAGCCUUACGGAAACAGCUGUUGCGAGAUUGUUUUAGGUACUACCUAAGGAAACGCAGCUGCGGCACUCACUCGAAAUUUCAACCAACUGCAGACAGGAAAAACUCAAAAAGGAUCACAAACGGAAACUUAACGCAGUUUUUGUUAAGUAACGAAACAUCUGCCGGUGCUGGCAUGCUACAAAACCAGUUUGUGGUGGUGUCUGUUGCCGUAGAGUUAGGUAUUUAUGUUUUCUCUUGGCCAGCUACCUUAAAAAUGCGUGUGGCAGCAAUACCUAUGGUUUUUUGCCCAAAGGAGAACUGGAAGUUUCAGUUUAUCUGUCCUCAUUUGGCUGGUUUUGUUAAUGCUUUGAAGGACGUUCAACCAGAGAAAAAUUUUUCUGAGGAAAAUGCAAUUUUUUUCACGAAAUGUGUAACGUAAGAGACGACAUAAAGUAGAAUCAAGCGCCGAGAAACAAUUUCCGGCGUAUUUUGGGGACUUUAAUAAUAAUAAUCAAAUACAUUGGUGCCUCUAGCUUAAUGCCACCUGUUCUACGAGCUCCUGAAAAAAAGACCGCUUUUUCAGAGAUACACCCUAACCUUUUGAGAUACACAACUUAGGAAUAGUUUCCAAUACAAAGAGCCCGAGAUCUCUUCAAUUUAGCUAUAGAAAAAACACUAUUGUCAGCUAAAAUUUUCGAGUCACUUAAAAUCCUCAGUAUCCCUGAGUGAUUAUAAUAUUUUUGUUUUCAGCACCCAGCUUUGAAUUUUUCAAAUCAUAAAUUAUAGCCAAAUACUGCUUAUGUAUAUACUUAAAGAAGCAUUUAUGCACAACGCACAAACAAAUCUGCGGCAAACUGUGGAACACACGUAGCAACAGAGCGGCUUCUUCCCCCCUCGUUACAGAGAUGGAAAUUAAUUGUUGAAUAACUCCUGUUUGUUUUCCGAUCUUCAUGAAUUUUUGUUUUUAAUUUUGGGGGUAAUGGGGAGGGGGCCGUAAAUGUCCGUCCGCGCCCAUCAGAAUUUUAAGAUGAAAUUUUAUACAAAUUUAAUGAGCUCUCUGUAUUUAUGUAUGUAUUAAAUAAAGUUGUUAUAUAUGUUUGGGCUGGGAA